rnacentral:rRNA from 1 species
UACGAAGGGGGCUAGCGUUGUUCGGAAUCACUGGGCGUAAAGGGCGCGUAGGCGGCUUUAUAAGUCGGGGGUGAAAGCCUGUGGCUCAACCACAGAAUUGCCUUCGAUACUGUAUGGCUCGAGACCGGAAGAGGUAAGUGGAACUGCGAGUGUAGAGGUGAAAUUCGUAGAUAUUCGCAAGAACACCAGUGGCGAAGGCGGCUUACUGGUCCGGAUCUGACGCUGAGGCGCGAAAGCGUGGGGAGCAAACGGG